CUUUUGUGGGGUGCUCGAGUGGCGAACGGGUGAGUAACACGUGAGUAACCUGCCCUUGACUUUGGGAUAACUUCAGGAAACUGGGGCUAAUACCGGAUAGGAGCCAUUUUUAGUGUGAUGGUUGGAAAGUUUUUCGGUGUAGGAUGAGCUCGCGGCCUAUCAGCUUGUUGGUGGGGUAAUGGCCUACCAAGGCGGCGACGGGUAGCCGGCCUGAGAGGGUGGACGGCCACAUUGGGACUGAGAUACGGCCCAG
rnacentral:rRNA from 1 species